rnacentral:rRNA from 1 species
CGAAUGCUGACAUAAGUAACGAUAAAGCGGGUGAAAAGCCCGCUCGCCGGAAGACCAAGGGUUCCUGUCCAACGUUAAUCGGGGCAGGGUGAGUCGACCCCUAAGGCGAGGCCGAAAGGCGUAGUCGAUGGGAAACAGGUUAAUAUUCCUGUACUUGGUGUUACUGCGAAGGGGGGACGGAGAAGGCUAUGUUGGCCGGGCGACGGUUGUCCCGGUUUAAGCGUGUAGGCUGGUUUUCCAGGCAAAUCCGGAAAAUCAAGGCUGAGGCGUGAUGACGAGGCACUACGGUGCUGAAGCAACAAAUGCCCUGCUUCCAGGAAAAGCCUCUAAGCAUCAGGUAACAUCAAAUCGUACCCCAAACCGACACAGGUGGUCAGGUAGAGAAUACCAAGGCGCUUGAGAGAACUCGGGUGAAGGAACUAGGCAAAAUGGUGCCGUAACUUCGGGAGAAGGCACGCUGAUAUGUAGGUGAAGUCCCUCGCGGAUGGAGCUGAAAUCAGUCGAAGAUACCAGCUGGCUGCAACUGUUUAUUAAAAACACAGCACUGUGCAAACACGAAAGUGGACGUAUACGGUGUGACGCCUGCCCGGUGCCGGAAGGUUAAUUGAUGGGGUCAGCGCAAGCGAAGCUCUUGAUCGAAGCCCCGGUAAACGGCGGCCGUAACUAUAACGGUCCUAAGGUAGCGAAAUUCCUUGUCGGGUAAGUUCCGACCUGCACGAAUGGCGUAAUGAUGGCCAGGCUGUCUCCACCCGAGACUCAGUGAAAUUGAACUCGCUGUGAAGAUGCAGUGUACCCGCGGCAAGACGGAAAGACCCCGUGAACCUUUACUAUAGCUUGACACUGAACAUUGAGCCUUGAUGUGUAGGAUAGGUGGGAGGCUUUGAAGUGUGGACGCCAGUCUGCAUGGAGCCGACCUUGAAAUACCACCCUUUAAUGUUUGAUGUUCUAACGUGGACCCGUGAUCCGGGUUGCGGACAGUGUCUGGUGGGUAGUUUGACUGGGGCGGUCUCCUCCUAAAGAGUAACGGAGGAGCACGAAGGUUGGCUAAUCCUGGUCGGACAUCAGGAGGUUAGUGCAAUGGCAUAAGCCAGCUUGACUGCGAGCGUGACGGCGCGAGCAGGUGCGAAAGCAGGUCAUAGUGAUCCGGUGGUUCUGAAUGGAAGGGCCAUCGCUCAACGGAUAAAAGGUACUCCGGGGAUAACAGGCUGAUACCGCCCAAGAGUUCAUAUCGACGGCGGUGUUUGGCACCUCGAUGUCGGCUCAUCACAUCCUGGGGCUGAAGUAGGUCCCAAGGGUAUGGCUGUUCGCCAUUUAAAGUGGUACGCGAGCUGGGUUUAGAACGUCGUGAGACAGUUCGGUCCCUAUCUGCCGUGGGCGCUGGAGAACUGAGGGGGGCUGCUCCUAGUACGAGAGGACCGGAGUGGACGCAUCACUGGUGUUCGGGUUGUCAUGCCAAUGGCACUGCCCGGUAGCUAAAUGCGGAAGAGAUAAGUGCUGAAAGCAUCUAAGCACGAAACUUGCCCCGAGAUGAGUUCUCCCUGACCCUUUAAGGGUCCUGAAGGAACGUUGAAGACGACGACGUUGAUAGGCCGGGUGUGUAAGCGCAGCGAUGCGUUGAGCUAAC